AAAGCUAGGACUAGGCCUAUCCCCUGCCCCGCUUUCUAAAAGAGAGCAGUGGCGCGGGAGGUUGGGAACUACUUUGGACCAGCAACCUAGCGCGCACCGCCGAGUGCGAGGUCCAGAGCGCUGAGAUUGUCUUUAUCUCUGAACUCCAGGCGACCCCACUGAUUCCAGGGCACCUCUUCCCCGCCCAGCCUCCCUACCCUGGGGUCCCACGGGAUUCUCAGAGCAGGGCGCUAGGACCCAGCAGGGAGCGGAGGCGGCCGCUAACCCGGGAGCCCCGAGGACCUGGCCGGUCCCUCCGCUCCGGCUGGAAAACUUUCUUUUUAAUUACGUCUCCAGGCCAGAGCGUUCGGAUUGCUAGGCUUACAAGGCGGACUCUGCUGCCCUGUGUGGAGCCUCUGGUCAAGUGUUCGGCGUUUUUUUCCUCCUCGGGACUGGCGGGUGGGCACUAAUCUCUGUAGCCAGGGUGUCCAGUUCCUAGCUACGGAGUCUGAGCACCCACUGGGAGCACCCUGUCGGGUCCUCGAGAUCCUCGGCACCACGCCGCCUACAGGCUCGCAGCUGUGGGUAGGAGUUGCCUGCCCAGGCUCCCCAGCCACGUGGCGUCCAGCUCAUUCUUCACCUGGAUCGCGGCCGCCGAGGUCUGGGGCACAUAGGGCGGGGGCACGUGGAAGGCUUCAGGAGGAUGUGCUGAGCUCGGCUCUGGGUGUGCUGUCGCUGCUGAGAAGUAAGACCCUCAUGAAGUGUUCUUUGUCUUGUCGGCUUCUAGGAGCAUAUACACUGUUGAGGUCUGUUUCUCCGGAAAUUGUCACAUUGAGGAGCUCACUUUGGAUGAUGUGGAUGCCUGAUGAGGGUCUGUGACAAUGCAUGGUCAGUCUACAGAUGUCAAAGGCAGACUUCAAGAGUCACCAUGCCUGGAAUGGUCCUUACAGUUGAACGUCCAGUAGACUAGACAAAGCAAGUUGCGGGAUGGCAUGCUACUUCCACUCAGUUUAAAGACAUCUUUCUGCCAACCCCAAGAGUCAUGUGACCUCUAUUUCCUCCCUGAAGAAGAAGAAGAAGAAGAAGAAGAAGAAGAAGAAGAAGAAGAAGAAGAAGAAGAAGAAGAAGAAGAAGAAGAAGAAGAAGAAGAACUUAGUGGGAUUCACUUCCCUCUCUCUGUCCUCUCCUACCUCUCAAGCUUACAUCAUUUAAACUCGGCUUCCAAACUGUUUUACAAACCGCUAGCCUGUA